GAGUGGAAGAUUGUUUUUUCUUAACAUCUGCAAGUUCCAGAAGACUUGGUGUGAAAGGAUACAUUGUUUGUACAUAGGAAUCUGUGUAGACAUCUGCAUAUACUACUGAGGAUAGAGAAAUAAGGUAAAACAAAGUUGCUGGAGAUACACAAGAAACACAAGACUGCCAACCAACCCCAAAGAAGGACCAAAACUAAAAUGUGACCAGGCUGGAGGACCAAGUCACAGGAAGAGGGAAACUGCUGUAGAAACAGAACAACCAUCAGGCACUACAGAGGAAAGAGCUAUUAUACCCAGGCACGAGGGGGUAUGCUAAUGAGUGGGGAAAGCCGAGACACAGAAAGAUGAAGGAAGA